rnacentral:lncRNA from 1 species
ACAUGGUAAGGGUUAUGGGAAGGGGCACGGAGGCGAGCAUGGAAAAGGAUAUGAGUAUGAACACGGUAAGGGUCAUGAGAAGGGGCACGGAGGCGAGCAUGGAAAAGGGUAUGAGUAUGAACACGGUAAGGGUCAUGAGAAGGGGCACGGAGGCGAGCAUGGAAAAGGGUAUGAAUAUGAACAUGGUAAGGGUCAUGAGAAGGGGCACGGAGGCGAGCAUGGAAAUGGGUAUGAAUAUGAACAUGGUAAGGGUUAUGAGAAGGGGCACAAGCAUGAAAACGGAAAGGAAAAUGGAAAAGAGCACGGAUAUGAACAUGACAAGGAGCAUGGAAAUGAACAUGGAAAAGGGUAUGAACAUGGUGAGGGCUACGAACAUGGACAUGGAAAAGAACAUGGAUAUGAACAUGAAAAGGGACAUGGAAAAGAAUACGGAAAAGGGCAUGGAUAUGAAUAUGGAAAAGGGUA